rnacentral:hammerhead_ribozyme from 1 species
AUCCAGCUGACGAGUCCCAAAUAGAAAGAAAUGUGCAUUUUGGAU